rnacentral:rRNA from 1 species
GAUGAACGCUGGCGGCGUGCCUAAUACAUGCAAGUCGAGCGAACAGACGAGGAGCUUGCUCCUCUGACGUUAGCGGCGGACGGGUGAGUAACACGUGGAUAACCUACCUAUAAGACUGGGAUAACUUCGGGAAACCGGAGCUAAUACCGGAGAAUAUAUUGAACCGCAUGGUUCAAUAGUGAAAGACGGUUUUGCUGUCACUUAUAGAUGGAUCCGCGCCGCAUUAGCUAGUUGGUAAGGUAACGGCUUACCAAGGCGACGAUGCGUAGCCGAGCUGAGAGGGUGAUCGGCCACACUGGAACUGAGACACGGUCCAGACUCCUACGGGAGGCAGCAGUAGGGAAUCUUCCGCAAUGGGCGAAAGCCUGACGGAGCAACGCCGCGUGAGUGAUGAAGGUCUUCGGAUCGUAAAACUCUGUUAUUAGGGAAGAACAAAUGUGUAAGUAACUAUGCACGUCUUGACGGUACCUAAUCAGAAAGCCACGGCUAACUACGUG